CACCUGCUCUACCACAGGCCCCCGGCUUUGCUCCACGUCUCCCUGGUCUGCAGACCAGGGAGACGUGGAGCAAAGCCGGGGGCCUGUGGUAGAGCAGG
rnacentral:pre_miRNA from 1 species